UGUUUUAAAGCUCAGAUGGUAGAGCAUGAGACUCUUAAUCUCAGGGUCAUGGGUUUGAGCCACACAUUGGGCAA
rnacentral:tRNA from 1 species